rnacentral:rRNA from 1 species
UACAGAGGUGGCAAGCGUUGUUCGGAAUUAUUGGGCGUAAAGGGCGCGUAGGCGGCCAUGCGUGUCUUCCGUGAAAUCCCUCGGCUUAACUGAGGACGUGCGGAAGAAACUGCAAGGCUCGAGUCCGGGAGAGGGGGGUGGAAUUCCCAGUGUAGCGGUGAAAUGCGUAGAUAUUGGGAGGAACACCGGUGGCGAAGGCGGCCCCCUGGACCGGAACUGACGCUGAGGCGCGAAAGCCAGGGGAGCAAACGGG